UUGGAAAUCAGACAAAGUCGAGCACAAAGCCGUGGCUACUGAGAGAGGGAGUGAGCCGUGUGUGAGACCGGCGGCAAGGGUGACCCUGGCACUUCUAAGAAGGCAGCAGCACAAUGGACUCUUCGAAAGAAGCAGUGUCAGUUUAUUCCCGCGUUGGCACCGCCCCCUCAGUGGGGCGGAAUGGCUUGUUUUCACCCUCCCUUUCCUGGAGUCUUUCAGACCAAACUUGUGUCCACAAUCGCUGGCAAUCCGAACCCUGAGUAACCUACGGACAGCCUUCCUGACCGGAGGCUCCGAGCCCGACACUCACCCGCUUGUCGGGUUGUUUGCCAAAGACUAGAGGCGCGGGAACCCUGGCUGCGGGGAGAGGGAACCCAGACUAUCGCCUCCGCCAGCCCAAGCGAGUGGCACAGCGUUUGAAACUCCCGGAGCUGCCCGAGUCGACGGGUGGGAAGGAGAAGCCAGCUGGGCAGGAAUGGCAGAGACUGAAAUAAGGUGUUCGCACGGUGUGGCCCACCAACUCCCCAGCCUCCUGCAAAGGUGGGGAACCAAAAGAAAGGCGUAAAUCCUAACUAUGAAAACCAACCAACCAACCUAGGCUUUUAGCUCCUUAGUACUAAAGCAAGACCCGGCCAUUCUGGGACGCCUGCACCCCGGGAGUUUUCCUCCUUUCCUGCACAAAUUUUAAAGUGUGCAUGCCAUGGUGGCUGGGGCGGGGGUGGGGGGGGUGGGGGGGUGGGAGCAAAGCAGGCCAGCCUGCCCUGGGGCUGGCGGAACGCUGACAGCAGAACCCCAGCUUUCAGUAGCAUCCUCUCCUGGAAGUUUGGGGUCUGGAAACUCGCCCCUUAAGUUUAGGUUCCACCUGGUCUACUUUCUCUUGCUCAUCUGGACGGAAGGAAGCAAUCGUUUGAAUGGGUGUAUGGAUUUAGGGUUUUAAAGUAAACUAUGUGGAAUUGU